rnacentral:rRNA from 1 species
UACGGGGGGAGCAAGCGUUGUUCGGAUUUACUGGGCGUAAAGGGCGCGUAGGCGGCCACCGCAAGUCGACUGUGAAAUCUCCGGGACUUAACCCGGAAAGGUCAGCCGAUACUGCGGGGCUAGAGUGCAGAAGGGGCAACUGGAAUUCGUCGGUGGUAGCGGUGGAAAUGCGUAGAUAUCGAGAGGAACACCUGCGGCGAAGGCGGGUUGCUGGGCUGACACGUGACGCUGAGGCGCGAAAGCUAGGGGAGCGAACGGG